GAUGAACGCUAGCGGCAGGCCUAAUACAUGCAAGUCGAACGGUGUCUUCGGACAUAGUGGCGCACGGGUGCGUAACACGUAUGCAACCUACCUUACAUUGGGGGAUAGCCUUUCGAAAGGGAGAUUAAUACCGCAUAAGACAGUAGCUGGGCAUCCAGCAGCUGUUAAAGAUUUAUCGAUGUAAGCUGGGCAUGCGUCCAAUUAGCUAGUUGGUGAGGUAACGGCUCACCAAGGCAAUGAUUGGUAGGGGAACUGAGAGGUCAAUCCCCCACACUGGCACUGAGAUACGGGCCAGACUCCUACGGGAGGAAGCAGUAGGGAAUAUUGGGCAAUGGACGCAAGUCUGACCCAGCCAUGCCGCGCGCAGGAUGAAGGCGUUAUGCGUUGUAAACUGCUUUUAUACAGGAAGAAACGACUCUUGCGAGAGGCAUUGACGGUACUGUAUGAAUAAGCACCGGCUAACUCCGUGCCAGCCGCCGCAGUAACAC
rnacentral:rRNA from 1 species